CAACCCUCAAGCUCAGCUUGGUAUUGGGUGUUACCUUGCCUGGUACACCUUAAAAUCAGUGGCGGUGCCAUUCAGAUUCAAGCAUAGUAAUACUUCUUGCUUUGGAGGUUGGGUGUUUGCUUGCCAGCAACCUAAUUAUCAAA
rnacentral:misc_RNA from 1 species